rnacentral:rRNA from 1 species
GAUCAUGGCUCAGGACGAACGCUAGCUACAGGCUUAACACAUGCAAGUCGAGGGUAGCAGGGUAGCAAUACCGCUGACGACCGGCGCACGGGUGAGUAACACGUAUCCAACCUUCCCAUAACUCAGGGAUAGCCUUUCGAAAGAAAGAUUAAUACCUGAUAGUACUUUUUCAAGGCAUCUUGAGAAGUUAAAGAUUUAUUGGUUAUGGAUGGGGAUGCGUUCCAUUAGAUAGUUGGUGAGGUAACGGCUCACCAAGUCUUCGAUGGAUAGGGGUUCUGAGAGGAAGGUCCCCCACAUUGGUACUGAGACACGGACCAAACUCCUACGGGAGGCAGCAGUGAGGAAUAUUGGUCAAUGGGCGAGAGCCUGAACCAGCCAAGUAGCGUGAAGGAUGAAGGUCCUAUGGAUUGUAAACUUCUUUUAUAGUAGAAUAAAGUGAUCCACGUGUGGAUUUUUGUAUGUAUACUAUGGAUAAGGAUCGGCUAACUCCGUGCCAGCCGCUGC